rnacentral:misc_RNA from 1 species
GUAACAAGGUUUCCGUUGGUGAACCAGCGGAGGGAUCAUUACCGAGUUUACAACUCCCAAACCCCUGUGAACAUACCUGUUUUGUUGCUUCGGCGGUGCCCUCGCUCUCGUGGCGAGGCCCGCCAGAGGACCCAAACAAACUCUUUGAUUUAAUCUAGGAUUUUACUUCUGAGUGAUAUACAAAAUAAAUCAAAACUUUCAACAACGGAUCUCUUGGUUCUGGCAUCGAUGAAGAACG